ensembl:snoRNA SNORA62 Small nucleolar RNA SNORA62/SNORA6 family
CUCACACAUUGUUAGCUUAGAGUGAAGGCCACUGGCUGGCCAAUGAACUCAGAAGUGUAGGUAGUGUGCUACAUGAGGGUAAGUCUUUCACUGAUAGCACAAGAGUCUCUGGCCCAAUGAGUAGAGUUCUACAGUAAUUCUUGCUACAAGU